ACUUUAAUAGUAUUAUUAACACAGUGCAUAAAAUCAGUUGGAGUAGCAGAAGCAAUGUAGAUAAAAAAUCUGCAGGAAUAACGUUUCAAAGCUUUCCAGAAGAUCCUGCGAAGAAGGCAUGAAGUAUUGAUCAGAUUUGUUAAUAGAGCAGUAUGUUCAAAACAUUUUUUAGAAAAAGAUAUUGACAGAACUUCACUUUCAACUGUUCGUUUGAGAGACUGUGCUGUUCCAAUAGCUUAUAUCACACAGAAUCAGCUGAGAGAAGUGGUCUACAAAAAAACCAGGAAGGAAAUGGAAUAUGUGGCUAUGAAAGGCAAGAGAAAGGUUUACAAAGCAAAUGUGAC